CCUACGGGUCGCACCAGUGGGGAAUAUUGCACAAUGGGCGCAAGCCUGAUGCAGCCAUGCCGCGUGCAUGAAGAAGGCCUUAGGGCUGUAAAGUACUUUCAGUUGGGAGGAAGGCGUUGAUGCUAAUAUCAACAGCGAUUGACGUUACCAACAGAAGAAGCACCGGCUAACUCCGUGCCAGCAGCCGCGAUAAUACGGAGGGUGCAAGCGUUAAUCGGAAUUACUGGGCGUAAAGCGCACGCAGGCGGUUGAUUAAGUUAGAUGUGAAAUCCCCGGGCUUAACCUGGGAAUGGCAUCUAAGACUGGUCAGCUAGAGUCUUGUAGAGGGGGGUAGAAUUCCAUGUGUAGCGGUGAAAUGCGUAGAGAUGUGGAGGAAUACCGGUGGCGAAGGCAGUCCCCUGGACAAAGACUGACGCUCAGGUGCGAAAGCGUGGGGAGCAAACAGGAUUAGAUACCCCAGUAGUC
rnacentral:rRNA from 1 species